rnacentral:rRNA from 1 species
UACAGAGGGGGCAAGCGUUAUUCGGAAUUAUUGGGCGUAAAGGGCGCGUAGGCGGCCUGGCAAGUGGAAGGUGAAAUCCCUCGGCUUAACCGAGGAACUGCCCUCCAAACUGCUUGGCUUGAGUCCGGGAGAGGUGAGUGGAAUUCCCAGUGUAGCGGUGAAAUGCGUAGAUAUUGGGAGGAACACCAGUGGCGAAGGCGGCUUCCUGGUCUGCGACUGACGCUGAGGCGCGAAAGCUAGGGGAGCAAACGGG